rnacentral:ncRNA from 1 species
UACCUGGUUGAUCCUGCCAGUAGUCAUAUGCUUGUCUCAAAGAUUAAGCCAUGCAAGUCUAAGUACGAGCUCUCGUACAGUGAAACUGCGAAUGGCUCAUUAAAUCAGUUAUGGUUCAUUUGAUCGUACAGUUUACUUGGAUAACUGUGGUAAUUCUAGAGCUAAUACAUGCGAGAAGCGCCGACCUCGCGGGAGGCGUGCAUUUAUCAGACCAAAAACCGGCCGCGUCUUCGGGCGCGUUCGCCUUGGUGACUCUGGAUAACUUUGCGGAUCGCACGGUCUAGCACCGGCGACGGAUCAUUCAAGUGUCUGCCCUAUCAACUUUCGUCGGUACGGUAUUUGCCUACCGAGGUUCUUACGGGUGACGGGGAAUCAGGGUUCGAUUCCGGAGAGGGAGCCUGAGAAACGGCUACCACAUCCAAGGAAGGCAGCAGGCGCGCAAAUUACCCAUUCCCGACGCGGGGAGGUAGUGACGAAAAAUAACAAUGCAGGACUCGUUCGAGGCCCUGUAAUUGGAAUGAGUACACUUUAAAAGCUUUAACGAGUAUCCAUUGGAGGGCAAGUCUGGUGCCAGCAGCCGCGGUAAUUCCAGCUCCAAAAGUAUAUAUUUAAGUUGUUGCGGUUAAAAAGCUCGUAGUUGGAUUUUGGGCGCAGGCGGCCGGUCCGUCGCAAGGCGUGUACUGGACGUCCUGGCCUUCCCUCCGGUUCUCCGCCGGUGCUCUUGACUGAGUGUCGGCGGCGGCCGGAACGUUUACUUUGAAAAAAUUAGAGUGUUCAAAGCAGGCUCUCGAGCCUGGAUAAUGGUGCAUGGAAUAAUGGAAUAGGACCUCGGUUCUAUUUUGUUGGUUUUCGGAGCGCGAGGUAAUGAUUAAGAGGGACAGAGG